UACGAAGGGGGCUAGCGUUGCUCGGAAUCACUGGGCGUAAAGCGCACGUAGGCGGAUUGUUAAGUCAGGGGUGAAAUCCUGGAGCUCAACUCCAGAACUGCCUUUGAUACUGGCGAUCUCGAGUCCGGGAGAGGUGAGUGGAACUGCGAGUGUAGAGGUGAAAUUCGUAGAUAUUCGCAAGAACACCAGUGCGAAGGCGGACUCACUG
rnacentral:rRNA from 1 species